GUAUAAUAAAUGGAGAAAUUGGCGGAGGUUACGAUAACGAGAGCUAAUUAAAAAUAAUACUAAUUUAAAUAAAACUAUAUUAAGUAAAAAAUUCAUUAAUGAAGAAAUUAUGUAGGUUGGAUUCAUGGAAGUAGGUAUGUAACAAGCCAUGGUGUGGCCAUUAACUGUAACACUGACAUGAGCUGGUUUCAUCAUAUAGUGCCCUGUGGUAUCCCAGAUAAGGGUGUGACAUCUCUUUCUCAGGAACUUGGCAAGAAUAUCUCUGUUACAGAAGCAACUACAUAUUUUAUUCAAGCAUUUGAAGAACAAUUUAAGUGCACAGUGUUACAGGAGAACAUGUUAAAAGAAAGCUAAAUUGUUUUUGAUUUCAUUAUUGAAUAUAUUGUAGAAAUGUUUUUAAAGAAAAUAAAUAAUUUGUAUCUUACAGCACAAAUUCAAUAUCAAA
rnacentral:misc_RNA from 1 species